CCUCCCGUGAUGAUGCAUUUUAGACUUUCGUUCUCCUGAGCUUGCUGAAGCCAAGGAUUUCAAUCUGAGGAGG
rnacentral:snoRNA from 1 species